UCCAAACUUACGCUUGCAACUGGCUCAAAGGAUUGGGUGGCUCUCCUUCCCCUAGUUCUAUAUCGGGCCCGGAAUACCCCGGGCCCCCUUGGUCUAACUCCUUUUAAAAUAAUAUAUAGAACACCACCCCCAUUUGUCCAUUUCUUUGAUUCAAACAUUGCUGAUUUUGCUGACAGCCCUUCUCUGAGGGCCCAUUUAUAGGCCCUACAGAUUGUGCAGAGAGACGUCUGGAGACCUUUGGCCGCUGCUUACCAGGACAAGCUUGAGCAUCCGGUGGUGCCACAACCGUUCCAGAUUGGAGACACCGUGUGGGUGCACAGACACCAGACCAAGAAUCUCGAGCCACGGUGAAAAGGACCCUACACCGUCCUCCUGACUACCCCGACUGCCCUAAAGGUAGACGGAGUCUCGGCUUAGAUCCACGCACCAUACGUCAAGGCAGUCCGGUCUGAGGAAUUGACUAAUCACAACACUACACCCCAGACAUGGAGAGUUCAGCGUACUCCAAACCCCUUAAAGUUAAAACUCCUACGUGGCUCCUCCUAGCCCUUUUGUGGCCUAGAGUCAGUGGGGGAAUAAGCCCCCACCAGACAGAAAUUUCUUGACCAAGUCGAGUGAAAGAUUUCACUCAAAGUUAGCAAAAAAAAAAUGGGGGAAUGAAAGACCCCAGCUUAGCAGCAGUAACGCCAUUUUGCAAGGCUGUACUUAAGAUGACUGGUUCAGGGAAAGGUUAGAACACUGAGUACACAGCGGCUGCCAAGCAGGAUGUGUUUGGUUGAAGGCCUGGCAACAGGACGACUUCAGUUGAGCACCUGACAAUGAAAAAAAAGCCCCGGGAGAGGUCCCACACCCUGGUGGGGGGCCGAGUCAGUCGUUAUGUUCCAAAAAGGUAGCUAAGAAACUUGCCCCCGGGCUGAACCCUUGGGGGGCCGAGUCAGCGGUUAUGUUUCAAGAAGGUAGCUAAGAAACUUGCCCCCGGGCUGAACCCUUGGGGGGCCGAGUCAGCCGUUAUGUUUCAGGAAGAUAGCUAGGAAACUUGCCCCCGGGCUAAACCCUUGCCAUAUUAAAAUCCACCAAUUAUAUCCCUGUAACCAUGCAUCUGCUUCUGUAUGCUUGCUUCUGCUCCCCAAAAUCCUAUAAAAGCCCAUCCUUGGUUCCGUGGGGCGCGCCAGUCCCCCGAGUGACUGAAGCGCCCGCAGGUGCCUGUGCCUGUGUAUCCCGACAAUAAACC
ensembl:lncRNA